rnacentral:rRNA from 1 species
GGCGUGCUUAACACAUGCAAGUCGAACGAUGAAGCCCUUCGGGGUGGAUUAGUGGCGAACGGGUGAGUAACACGUGGGCAAUCUGCCCUUCACUCUGGGACAAGCCCUGGAAACGGGGUCUAAUACCGGAUAACACUCUCUCUCGCAUGGGAGAGGGUUGAAAGCUCCGGCGGUGAAGGAUGAGCCCGCGGCCUAUCAGCUAGUUGGUGAGGUAGAAGCUCACCAAGGCGACGACGGGUAGCCGGCCUGAGAGGGCGACCGGCCACACUGGGACUGAGACACGGCCCAGACUCCUACGGGAGGCAGCAGUGGGGAAUAUUGCACAAUGGGCGAAAGCCUGAUGCAGCGACGCCGCGUGAGGGAUGACGGCCUUCGGGUUGUAAACCUCUUUCAGCAGGGAAGAAGCGAAAGUGACGGUACCUGCAGAAGAAGCGCCGGCUAACUACGUGCCAGCAGCCGCGGUAAUACGUAGGGCGCAAGCGUUGUCCGGAAUUAUUGGGCGUAAAGAGCUCGUAGGCGGCUUGUCACGUCGGUUGUGAAAGCCCGGGGCUUAACCCCGGGUCUGCAGUCGAUACGGGCAGGCUAGAGUU